CUGUACACUACCAGAGUGAAAUAUAUUCUUACACCACAGGUUCUGGGGCUCAGUACUUGCUGAAGUCGUGAUUGCUAAUUAUGUAAUAUAAUGACCUUCUGUGUGAGACUUAGAAGUGGAUUCCAUGAAGAAAUACGUUCUAAAAGUUUACCACAGUGAAUGCCUAGCAAAUGGUAAUCAAGUGCAGUAAAUCAUGGUGCAGAAACGGGGAAAGGCUGUAUACAUGCUGUGGAUGUAGGUCAGGCGCUCUCUUCACCUGUAUUUAUCGAAGUAUGCCACUGACAUGCAGCACCUUUUUAAAAUGAUGUGGAACUGGACUGCUUUUAUUUCAGCAGCGCACUGUAUUUUGUUCUGGCACUUUAAAAAAAAUUCUUGUCGAGGUUUCAGUUACAUUUCAGUAGUGCUACUCCAGCAAAGAUCUAGCAAGUAUUUUUACUGUAGUAAUAUACAGUGUGAUGCACUGUGCUAGAUUAAAAUGGCUUGAAAUGUACGGUAUGUUUUAAAAUAGUCCAGGUUGCACCGUUUUCAAAUACCUGUUUUAGGACUAGAGUCGCUAUUCCUUUUCUACGUAACCCUAAAUGUCUCCAACCUUCUAACUCAAGCAAGCUUUACAUUCAGUGCUCAGCAAAUUGAGCGGGCUAGUUCUGCAGCCCUGGCUCCUUGUUACUGCAUUGCUUCAGCAGCUUCACAUUGAGGACCGAAUGAAAUCAAUACAGCAGCAACACAAUAGAGCAGAACAUGUGCACAUAUACAGUCAUUAGAAAACAAAUACAUACACACACAUAUAUAUAUAUAUAUAGAUCUGAAUUCUAGUCAUCGUGUUUAUACGAGGGCGUCAAGUUUGCAAUAUUUUGAUUCGUUCUAAACUUUGCAGCAGAUCGCUUGAUUUUAGCUGUUACCUCUUGUUUUGUUCGUUAUUUUAUCAAUGCAGUCGUGGUGUUAUUAACACACCAGGUGUACAAGGUAAAACAUCAGAGACGAAAGACUGAAAUUCCACCUUUUUAUUUUUUUGUAGAAAAGAAAUGCCAGCCAUGCUUUAGUAUUUUUUUCUUCUUUAUUAAAAUGCUAAGUGCGUGUGUACUCCUAGCUUCCUGCACACUUUUCAGAUUGCACUCUGUCACAAUCGGCUGCUGAUUUUAAACACGUUUUAUUGACGGCCCCCCUUGUGUUUGCAUGCAGUGGUUUACAUGUACGAUUAGUGUUAUUCCUUUCAGUAAAGGUGUCUUUGCUUCUAAGCUCGCUUCACAACAGGGUCACGGCUCUUUCCUGCCUGGUUUUUCUGUGAAUGAAGAGUCCCGAGGAAUCGGUGAAAAGCAGUGAAGGAACUGGCUGUGCUAAACAUCUGAAACAGAUGCCAACAAAUGCACUCGGCCCUCAUCGGGUGUCAAUACGAAGUUAAGCCAUAUUCCAGCCUCUUAAUGACUUGAUAACGGCGCGGCCCUCCCUGGAUUGUUUCUUGGACACAGCAUGCUGCAGUCGGACAGGUGGCUCUGCUCUGCUUACAUAGCCUAAGGAAUAACUAUACUAAGUAUUCAUGGAUUCACGCGCCGCAUUUCUGCGAGGCCCCUGCAAUGGUAUGCUGUGGAACUGGAAAACAAACUAUUGUAAACUGAUUGUUUAAAAAAGAAAGUAUGCUAUAUUGUUUGUAUGAUGCCAGGUUUAGAUUAUUUCUGCUUUCGGAGGUACUGUUUUAGGGGUUUUCUUGGGUAUCGGUCCUAGCUCAGUUCUUUAAUGCAACCCCUCAAGGUUCAAGUCACUGGUCCUUCUUAGCUGUAACUGGGUAGAAACCCUGAAAUUCCCACUGGGUGCUGGGUGUAAUUCUCCCAAACCAAACCAGUCGGUCUAAACUCUGUAUAUCUGAAUAUCACUCACAGAUAUGCAUCACUGUGGUAGAAAUAGAGUGGGCAGUGUAUUCUGAUAUCACCUGUCACUCUCGCAUCACCAAAAAUGAAAACAGUGGCUGGAGGAGAGGCGUAUACACUGGGUAACAUAUACACCUUCUACAGUGGGAGCAGGCCCGGGUCUAUCUACUGUUAAACUUCACCAGGAAGGGAAUUAAGAUGGCUGUCACCUGGGACAAUGUGAUUUGAGGCGUGUGAAUUUCAAAGGCAGUGUGAUAAAGGACAGGUUCGGGUGUCCCCUCUGGAAACCAGAAGCAGUUUAACCCUGGCUCGUGGGGAUGUGUCUCGUGUGUGUGCAGGACCCUCCUGUUAAUCGUGUGCCGCCAUGCCCAUCCUCCCGUUGUAAACUAUCGAUUUAUUAAACCUCAAGACUUUGAUGUUUUUAAAGAAA